UACGGAGGGUGCAAGCGUUAUCCGGAUUCACUGGGUUUAAAGGGUGCGUAGGUGGGUUGGUAAGUCAGUGGUGAAAUCUCCGGGCUUAACUCGGAAACUGCCGUUGAUACUAUCAAUCUUGAAUAUCGCGUAGGUAAGCGGAAUAUGUCAUGUAGCGGUGAAAUGCUUAGAUAUCGUCAAGAACACCGAUAGUGUAGACAGCUUACUAGGCUACAACUGACGCUGAGGCACGAAAGUGUGGGGAUCAAACAGG
rnacentral:rRNA from 1 species